rnacentral:rRNA from 1 species
UACAUAGGUCCCAAGCGUUGUCCGAAGUUACUGGGCGUAAAGCGCGCGUAGGCGGGAAAUUAAGUGAGAAGUGAAAGGCUGGGGCUUAACCCCAUGCAGUGCUCCUCAUACUGGUUUUCUUGAGGGUGGUAGAGAGAAGUGGAAUGGCUGGUGUAGCGGUGAAAUGCGUAGAUAUCAGUCGGAACACCAGUGGCGAAGGCGGCUUCUUGGGCCAUUACUGACGCUGAGGCGCGAAAGCCAGGGGAGCGAACGGG